rnacentral:rRNA from 1 species
AACUUGUCCUUUGGACCGGGAUAACCCCUGGGAAACUGGGGCUAAUACCGGAUAGAGCAUUGAUAGCUGGAAUGCACGAUGCUCGAAAGCUGAGGCGCCAAAGGGUAGGUCUGCGGCCGAUUAGGUUGUUGUUGAUGUAAUGGAUCAACAAGCCUCCGAUCGGUAUGGGUUGUGAGAGCAAUAUCCCAGAGAUGGGUUCUGAGAGAAGAACCCAGGUCCUACGGGACGCAUCAGGCGCGAAAACUUUACAAUGUGCGAAAGCACGAUAAGGGAACUCUGAGUGCCUCCAAAGGAGGCUGUUCAGGUGUCUAAAAAGCAUCUGAAGUAAGGGCUGGGCAAGACCGGUGCCAGCCGCCGCGGUAACACCGGCAGCCCAAGUGGUGGCCACUUUUACUGGGUCUAAAGCGUUCGUAGCCGGCCAUGUAAGUUCCUUGGGAAAUUUGACCGCUUAACGGUUAAGCUUCCAGGGAAUACUGCUUGGCUUGGGACCGGGAGAGGUCAGAGGUACCUCAAGGGUAGGGGUGAAAUCCGUUAAUCCUUGGGGGACCG